rnacentral:rRNA from 1 species
AAUAUUGGACAAUGGGGGAACCCCUGCACGACCCAUCCCGAGUGUGUGAAGAAGGNCCNNGGAUUNUNAAGCACUUUAAGUUGNNNNNAAGGCCUUUAGACCAAUACCCUGAAGCUUUAACGUUACCAACAGCACCAGCAAAGGCUAACUCAGCGCCAGCAGCCGCGGUAAUACAGAGGGUGCAAGCGUUAAUCGCAAUUACAGAGCGUAAAGCGGGCGUAGGUGGUUCAGUAAGAUGGGUGUGAAAACCCCGGGCUUAACCUGGGAACUGCUUUCAUAACUGCUGAGCUAGAGUACUGUAGAGGGUAGUGGAAUUUCCUGUGUAGCGGUGGAAUGCGUAGAUAUAGGAAGGAACACCAGUGGCGAAGGCGACUACCUGGACUAAUACUGACGCUGAGGUGCGAAGGCGUGGGGAGCAAAC